CAAGCAAAGGCCUCAUGGA
rnacentral:misc_RNA from 1 species